CGUUGCUGGUGAUUUUUCACAUGGAGAUAGGUACUCUGAGAGUAAUGCACUGAUAUUUAGAUCUACUGAAGGA